rnacentral:rRNA from 1 species
UACAGAGGUCCCGAGCGUUGUUCGGAUUCACUGGGCGUAAAGGGUGCGUAGGUGGCUUUGCAAGUCUGAUGUGAAAUCUCCGGGCUCAACCCGGAAAAGGCAUUAGAAACUGUGAGGCUGGAGGCUUGGAGGGGGAACUGGAAUUCUCGGUGUAGCAGUGAAAUGCGUAGAGAUCGAGAGGAACACCAGUGGCGAAGGCGAGUUCCUGGACAAGACCUGACACUGAGGCACGAAAGCCGGGGGAGCAAACAGGAUUAGAAACCCAUGUAGUCC